rnacentral:rRNA from 1 species
GAUGAACGCUGGCGGCGUGCCUAAUACAUGCAAGUCGAGCGAACUUUUGGGAGCUUGCUCCCAAAAGUUAGCGGCGGACGGGUGAGUAACACGUGGGCAACCUGCCUAUAAGACUGGGAUAACUUCGGGAAACCGGAGCUAAUACCGGAUAACAUAUGAUACCACAUGGUCUCAUAUUAAAAGAUGGCUUUUAGCUUUCACUUAUAGAUGGGCCCGCGGCGCAUUAGCUAGUUGGUGGGGUAAUGGCUCACCAAGGCGACGAUGCGUAGCCGACCGGAGUGGGUGAUCGGCCACACUGGGACAGGAACACGGCCCAGACUCCUACGGGAGGCAGCAGUAGGGAAUCUUCCGCAAUGGACGAAAGUCUGACGGAGCAACGCCGCGUGAGCGAAGAAGGUCUUCGGAUCGUAAAGCUCUGUUGUUAGGGAAGAACAAGUACCGUUCAAAUAGGGCGGUACCUUGACGGUACCUAACCAGAAAGCCACGGCUAACUACGUGCCAGCCGCCGCCGUAA